GACGAACGCUGGCGGCGUGCCUAAUACAUGCAAGUAGAACGCUGAAGGAGGAGCUUGCUUCUCUGGAUGAGUUGCGAACGGGUGAGUAACGCGUAGGUAACCUGCCUGGUAGCGGGGGAUAACUAUUGGAAACGAUAGCUAAUACCGCAUAAUAUUGACUAUUGCAUGAUAGUCAGUUGAAAGGUGCAACUGCACCACUACCAGAUGGACCUGCGUUGUAUUAGCUAGUUGGUGGGGUAACGGCUCACCAAGGCGACGAUACAUAGCCGACCUGAGAGGGUGAUCGGCCACACUGGGACUGAGACACGGCCCAGACUCCUACGGGAGGCAGCAGUAGGGAAUCUUCGGCAAUGGACGGAAGUCUGACCGAGCAGCGCCGCGGGAGUGAAGAAGGUUUUCGGAUCGUAAAGCUCUGUUGUAAGAGAAGAACGAGUGUGAGAGUGGAAAGCUCACACUGUGACGGUAUCUUACCAGAAAGGGACGGCUAACUACGUG
rnacentral:rRNA from 1 species